CAGAAAAAAAGUAAAAAAAAAAAGUCUUUAAAGUCUCACUCGUCAUAAGUUUGUCUCACCCUCAUUUCAUGUGUAUUUUUCUGUCAGAGUUGAAAUGUAAGGAGCGCGAGCUUCAGAUGUCUCUAGUGCUGCCCAUUACCUUCCUGGAGAAUCUGCAUUUCUCUGCUCUCCAGCUGAAUGAUCCGACCUGCCCAGUGUUUUAUAACUCGACCCACGUCACCGCCACCUUCCCUCUGACGGGCUGCGGAACCAAGAGGAUGCAUUUAGGAUCAGAAUUGGUGUACACCAACACUUUACGCAGCAUCAAUCCCAACACCACUAUAAGCCGUGUGGCCACUCUCAUCCUGCCACUCGCCUGCCGGAUUCCCGGUCAACAAGCUAAAGGUCCAGCUUUUAAGAUCUCCAUUCCUGAAGAAGUGAAGACAUUUGGUGUAGUGUCUUUCUGGCUCGAGUUCCACCCUCCAGGAGAGGGUCCUAUGGCCGCCGAGACGCGUCUGCCGCGUUUGCGCGGUUCACCGCCGCUGUGCAUCUGGAAAUGGAACCUUGGAGAUCUUGAUAUCAAAUUCAACUGUUCGGAUUUUCCGCUUAUAUCUUGGUUCUUUGGGUAUAAAGGGAGACACGAUGUAUGUUGAGUGUGUAGUGCACCUUUGUGUUACUACCAAACAAACCGACAGGUGUUUGGAUCCAUGUACAGAAACACCGAAACUGACGGUAGUAGACAGCAUUCUGACCUGCAGCUACACUGUGCGCUCAGGGCCUGUUCCUCUCAUUAAAGUCACAGAAACCAC
rnacentral:lncRNA from 1 species